UACGUAGGGUGCAAGCGUUGUCCGGAAUUAUUGGGCGUAAAGAGCUCGUAGGCGGUUUGGUAAGUUGGAUGUGAAAUCUCCAGGCUCAACUUGGAGGGGUCAUUCGAUACUGCCAUGACUAGAGUUCGGUAGGGGAGUGUGGAAUUCCUGGUGGAGCGGUGAAAUGCGCAGAUAUCAGGAGGAACACCCGUAGCGAAGGCGGCACUCUGGGCCGGAACUGACGCUGAGGAGCGAAAGCGUGGGGAGCAAACGGG
rnacentral:rRNA from 1 species